rnacentral:piRNA from 1 species
AUUCAAUUUUAAGAAGGUGUC